CGAGGGCGGGCACAUCAAAGGCCUUGGGUGUUGAUUUUCGCGCACGUCUGCUAUAUUGCGCUGAGGCAAUGGCCGCCCAGAACAGAUGUUGUGUAAACGUCCACGUGUCGACGCUUCACGUCAGGGCUGUUGUCAAAGAGAUGUGCACUUGAUGAGCUCAGCGGUGGAUUCACGUCCGAGACGCACAAUCUGGGUAAAUCUGUCAAAUUCUGGACACGAACUAUAUAAUGAAACGCCCGGACCAAGGUCUCUGUUAUGUAAUACACUGUCUAAAUGUU